AGGAUUAGAUACCCUGGUAGUCCACGCCGUAAACGUUGGGCGCUAGAUGUAGGGACCUUUCCACGGUUUCUGUGUCGUAGCUAACGCAUUAAGCGCCCCGCCUGGGGAGUACGGCCGCAAGGCUAAAACUCAAAGGAAUUGACGGGGGCCCGCACAAGCGGCGGAGCAUGCGGAUUAAUUCGAUGCAACGCGAAGAACCUUACCAAGGCUUGACAUACACCGGAAACGGCCAGAGAUGGUUGCCCCCUUGUGGUCGGUGUACAGGUGGUGCAUGGUUGUCGUCAGCUCGUGUCGUGAGAUGUUGGGUUAAGUCCCGCAACGAGCGCAACCCUCGUUCUAUGUUGCCAGCGCGUUAUGGCGGGGACUCAUAGGAGACUGCCGGGGUCAACUCGGAGGAAGGUGGGGAUGACGUCAAAUCAUCAUGCCCCUUAUGUCUUGGGCUUCACGCAUGCUACAAUGGCCGGUACAAAGGGCUGCAAUACCGUGAGGUGGAGCGAAUCCCAAAAAGCCGGUCCCAGUUCGGAUUGAGGUCUGCAACUCGACCUCAUGAAGUCGGAGUCGCUAGUAAUCGCAGAUCAGCAACGCUGCGGUGAAUACGUUCCCGGGUCUUGUACACACCGCCCGUCAAGUCAUGAAAGUCGGUAGCACCUGAAGCCGGUGGCCCAACCCUUGUGGAGGGAGCCGUCGAAGGUGGGAUCGGUAAUUAGGACUAAGUCGUAACAAGGUA
rnacentral:rRNA from 1 species